AAAGAGAAAUAUAUCUCUACAGAUCACGCUGCUCCAACAGAAAUCUAAUUUUUUUUUUGUUCUUACAACUCGAUCUUCAACAAUGGUGGCUUACCAAACCUUUUUCUCUAAUGUUAAACCGGUCGUUGUUACAAUACCGCCGUGAGGCGUCUUCUGCGGUAUGGGAAGCCCGUAACAUCACCAAAGGAGGGGAACUGAUGGGCGUGGACAUGCUUCUUCUAGAUGAAAAGGAGAAUGUUUUCACACGUCUGCUUCGUUCCUCUUUCACACAUCACAAUGGUCACUCACCGUAGGUUGUGUGGCACUGACGUCAGUUGCUCCAUAUCCAGAAAAUAAAACAUCUGAUGGACUUUUGACGUUCCUAACGCCAUUGCACUGCAUACUGCUGAGUGGUGAUCAGAUUAUUUUUGUUCAUCGUAUUCCAGUAGAGAAGUGUGGUACAUGUAAAUUAGACAUGCUAUUAGCUACAAUGGUGACAAUAAGCUAAUGGCGGAUGUCAAACCACCUGAAAGAGACAAAAAGCUUGAAUAUUUUGGUCUGACAAUGGAUUUGAUCGGUGGGUUUGGCAAACGGCAUGAGUGUUUCUAUGGAAACUUUCUCAAAAAAAUCUUGCUUUGAAAGUUUCGAGAACCAAAAUCAAACCAAGCAUCAAAAGCUUAGCCUCUCUGAUGUAAGAUUCGUGCUAGGAUCAAUAACAUUAGCUUAACUGGCAGAUACCGAGACAUCAAAAGCAUUUGUUGCUGUAAAGCUGAGUAGUUCAGCUGAUCCCAAGACACCAAGUGAAUCACAUGAAAGCUAAGGAAAAUCAAUUUUGAUCACAUGUUUUGAUCAACUCUUAGCGUUGAUGUUAUUAGUAGUUGGUGAAUAGACCAAACGUGAGCGUAUCAGACAGUCAAUAAAAAGAGAAGGAGCCAAAAGGGAUGAUAAUAAAAUUAGGGAACAAAGUGUCGUUAAGUGAUAGUUCCGGUCUGUGGGAUUUUCUCAUUUUACGACUCAUCUGAUUCUCUUUGUUUUUUCCUUUCAAACUAAUCUAAUUUACAGUAACAUGUUUUUAUUUUAA